AGACACCCAGCAGCAAGUCGUCCUCAGGGCCUCGGAUCGGGCCCCUAGCUCUGCCCGAGGACCACUAUGAGCGCACCACGCCCGACGGCAGCAUUGGGGAGAUGGAGCACCCUGAGAACUAGACCCCUGAGCGGAGCAGGCUGUGAAUGGGGCUCUCAACCGAGAUCUCCGCCCCCUGCCUGACGUAGCCAUGACGGGGACCUGCACCCGGGAGUGCACGGAGUUCGGCCACUCCGACACCUGCUGGAUGCCUGGCCAGUCCUCCCCCAGCCGCCGGCCCAAGAAUGCCCUCAAAC